rnacentral:rRNA from 1 species
GACGAACGCUGGCGGCAUGCCUAAUACAUGCAAGUCGAGCGAACAGAUGAAGUGCUUGCACUUCUGACGUUAGCGGCGAACGGGUGAGUAACACGUAAGGAAUCUACCUAUAAGCGGGGGAUAACAUUCGGAAAUGGGUGCUAAUACCGCAUAAUAUCUUCUUCCGCAUGGAAGAAGAUUGAAAGACGGCUCUGCUGUCACUUAUAGAUGACCUUGCGGUGCAUUAGUUAGUUGGUGGGGUAAUGGCCUACCAAGACGAUGAUGCAUAGCCGACCUGAGAGGGUGAUCGGCCACAUUGGGACUGAGACACGGCCCAAACUCCUACGGGAGGCAGCAGUAGGGAAUCUUCCGCAAUGGGCGAAAGCCUGACGGAGCAAUGCCGCGUGAGUGAAGAAGGCCUUCGGGUCGUAAAACUCUGUUAUAAGAGAAGAACAAAUUGUAGAGUCACUGCUACAGUCUUGACGGUAUCUUAUCAGAAAGCCACGGCUAACUACGUGCCAGCCGCCGCGGUAA